GACGAACGCUGGCGGCGUGCCUAAUACACGCAAGUCGAGCGAAUCAAUGGGAGCUUGCUCCCUGAGAUUAGCGGCGGACGGGUGAGUAACACGUGGGUAACCUGCCUGUAAGACUGGGAUAACUUCGGGAAACCGGAGCUAAUACCGGAUACUUUCUUUUCUCGCAUGAGGGAAGAUGGAAAGAUGGUUCUGCUAUCACUUACAGAUGGACCCGCGGCGCAUUAGCUAGUUGGUGAGGUAACGGCUCACCAAGGCAACGAUGCGUAGCCGACCUGAGAGGGUGAUCGGCAACACUGGGACUGAGACACGGCCCAGACUCCUACGGGAGGCAGCAGUAGGGAAUCUUCCGCAAUGGACGAAAGUCUGACGGAGCAACGCCGCGUGAGCGAAGAAGGCCUUCGGGUCGUAAAGCUCUGUUGUUAGGGAAGAACAAGUACGAGAGUAACUGCUCGUACCUUGACGGUACCUAACCAGAAAGCCACGGCUAACUACGUGCCAGCCGCCGCCGUAAGAC
rnacentral:rRNA from 1 species